CUUAGUGACCUUAGCGCUGUGGACCCACCUGAUUCCUUGCCGAACUCAGAAGUGAAACGCAGUAGCGCCGAUGGUAGUGUGGGGUCUCCCCAUGUGAGAGUAGGACAUUACUAGGC
rnacentral:rRNA from 1 species